AGUGAACGCUGGCGGUAGGCCUAACACAUGCAAGUCGAACGGCAGCACAGUAAGAGCUUGCUCUUACGGGUGGCGAGUGGCGGACGGGUGAGGAAUACAUCGGAAUCUACUUUUUCGUGGGGGAUAACGUAGGGAAACUUACGCUAAUACCGCAUACGACCUACGGGUGAAAGCAGGGGAUCUUCGGACCUUGCGCGAUUGAAUGAGCCGAUGUCGGAUUAGCUAGUUGGCGGGGUAAAGGCCCACCAAGGCGACGAUCCGUAGCUGGUCUGAGAGGAUGAUCAGCCACACUGGAACUGAGACACGGUCCAGACUCCUACGGGAGGCAGCAGUGGGGAAUAUUGGACAAAGGGCGCAAGCCUGAUCCAGCCAUACCGCGUGGGUGAAGAAGGCCUUCGGGUUGUAAAGCCCUUUUGUUGGGAAAGAAAAGCAGCAGGUUAAUACCCCGCUGUUCUGACGGUACCCAAAGAAUAAGCACCGGCUAAGUUCGUG
rnacentral:rRNA from 1 species